rnacentral:tRNA from 1 species
AAGAUUUUAAGUUUAAUUUUAAACUUUUAGCCUUCAAAGUUAAAAAUAUGAAUAUUUUCAUAAAUUUUA